AUUUAACCUAGUUGGCAUUUCUUAUCAACAAAGUCUAACCUAUUCUGGUGCUCUCCUCUAUGAGACAAGCUGUUAUAUAGACUUAGACAGU
rnacentral:snoRNA from 1 species